GUGGGUAUAGCUCAGUGGUAGAGCGCUCGCUUAGCAUGCGAGAGGGCUAGGGUUCAAUUCCCCAUACCUUUU
rnacentral:tRNA from 1 species